rnacentral:lncRNA from 1 species
GGAAGAACAAAAGUUGCACAGCGAGAACUGAUAGGAAAAUAGACCAUAUUCUACAGGUGGCUUAACUUAACUGUUGUUAUGCAUACAGCCGUGGAGGAAUGUUGCCUUCGUUCCACAAGAAUCCUGGCCAAGGAGAAGAGCUGAGAACUGUUAAAUAUGUGUACAAGGAGUUACUGUAAAAUAUUGGGGACUUCAGUCUUCCAAUACACAAGGUGAGUUAUGUCCAGCACAAAGUGUGUUAAAGUGUUACUUUCUAAUUGAAUGCACUAGAACUACCGAAUAAUGUGUGAAUCAUGUCUAAAAAGUAAAAGUACAUCUAAAACUCCAGGCUUUUGAGGCAAAUGAAGUAAAAGAGCAGUGAGAACUCAUUCCAGCAGAACUGGUCAGUCUUACG